rnacentral:rRNA from 1 species
UACGUAGGCAGCAAGCGUUGUUCGGAGUUACUGGGCGUAAAGGGUGUGUAGGCGGUUGGAUAAGUGUGGUGUGAAAUCUCCCGGCUUAACUGGGAGGGUGCGCUACAAACUGUCUGACUAGAGUGUGGGAUGGGUAAGUGGAAUUCCUGGUGUAGCGGUGAAAUGCGUAGAUAUUGGGAAGAACACCAGUGGCGAAGGCGGCGACCUGGUCCUUGACUGACGCUGAGGCGCGAAAGCGUGGGGAGCAAACAGG